rnacentral:rRNA from 1 species
GAAGGAUCAUUUCUGAAGGCUUACACGCCAACAUUGUGAAACGCGUCUUCGGGCGCAUUGCUUGGGUGUCAAUUUUUGGCGCCCAACCAUAAACUCUUAUAUUUUAUUCUGAAAACCAAGAAAAUUCAAAACUUUCAACAACGGAUCUCUUGGUUCUCGCAUCGAUGAAGAACGCAGCAAAGCGCGAUAGGUAAUGCGAAUUGCACACGUGAGUCAUUGAAUCUUUGAACGCACAUUGCGCUACUAGGUUCUCCUAGUAGCAUGCUUGUUGGAGCGCCGAUCUUUCUCAUCUACUAUGUUUUCAUGGCGGAUGGUUUUGCUCCAGUCCUGGAGUGAAAAGAAUGGAAGUGCACACGUUAGAUAACUCUGUGCAGUUACAAUCAAACUUUUGGCCCCCAAUCAAGCAAGGGUACCCCCUUAAAUUAAACCUA